UGGGGAAUAUUGCACAAUGGGCGAAAGCCUGAUGCAGCGACGCCGCGUGAGGGAUGACGGCCUUCGGGUUGUAAACCUCUUUCAGCAGGGACGAAGCGCAAGUGACGGUACCUGCAGAAGAAGCACCGGCUAACUACGUGCCAGCAGCCGCGGUAAUACGUAGGGUGCAAGCGUUGUCCGGAAUUACUGGGCGUAAAGAGUUCGUAGGCGGUUUGUCGCGUCGUUUGUGAAAACCAGCAGCUCAACUGCUGGCUUGCAGGCGAUACGGGCAGACUGGAGUACUGCAGGGGAGACUGGAAUUCCUGGUGUAGCGGUGAAAUGCGCAGAUAUCAGGAGGAACACCGGUGGCGAAGGCGGGUCUCUGGGCAGUAACUGACGCUGAGGAACGAAAGCGUGGGUAGCGAACAGG
rnacentral:rRNA from 2 species